rnacentral:rRNA from 1 species
CCUACGGGAGGCAGCAGUGAGGAAUAUUGGUCAAUGGACGCAAGUCUGAACCAGCCAUGCCGCGUGCAGGAUGACGGCUCUAUGAGUUGUAAACUGCUUUUGUACGAGGGUAAACCCCGAUACGUGUAUCGGGUUGAAAGUAUCGUACGAAUAAGGAUCGGCUAACUCCGUGCCAGCAGCCGCGGUAAUACGGAGGAUCCGAGCGUUAUCCGGAUUUAUUGGGUUUAAAGGGUGCGUAGGCGGUUUGAUAAGUUAGAGGUGAAAUGUCGGGGCUCAACCCCGGCGAGCCGUUGAAACUGGCGGGCUGGAGUUGGAGAGAAGUACGCGGAAUGCGCGGUGUAGCGGUGAAAUGCUUAGAUAUCGCGCAGAACCCCGAUUGCGAAGGCAGCGUACCGGCUCCACACUGACGCUGAGGCACGAAAGCGUGGGUAUCGAACAGGAUUAGAUACCCGGGUAGUC